AAAAAAAAAAAAAAGAAAUUCACAAACAUAUAAACACAUAUAUAGACUCAUAUAAAUUUAUGCAAAGACGACAUCUUGUGUAUCUUGCAUCUUACAAGCCAUUUGCCCAACUAAUUUUAAAUCUUAUGUUUCCAAUUUUCAAGAAAUUGCCUAAAUGGGUCCAUGGCAUCAAGUUGAAAUAGUAAUUCCUUCUUUAUUUAUUCUAAAUAGCGUAAAAAACUUGCAGCAAAACCAACAAUUAAUAUAGUAACAUAAUUUGGUGCAAGAAUACUUAAAAGUAUUUCCCUGUAGUUCUGUUGAAUAGUACGUAGAGAUUGUUAAGAAUUACGGACCUAAGAGUGUGAAUAUCAAACUGGCAUGCUACAUGCUGACCUAGGCUUGAAACUAGGUUCUCCAUCACCAAAAUGGCCUAAG
rnacentral:misc_RNA from 1 species